AAAGCUCAAUACGUAUGGGAAGAUAAUGACGGUACCAUACGAAAGCCCCGGCUAACUACGUGCCAGCAGCCGCGGUAAUACGUAGGGGGCGAGCGUUGUCCGGAAUUACUGGGCGUAAAGAGCACGUAGGCGGCUGUAAAAGUCAGAUGUGAAAAACCUGGGCUCAACCGAGGGUGUGCAUCUGAAACUAUAUAGCUUGAGUCAAGGAGAGGAGAGCGGAAUUCCUGGUGUAGCGGUGAAAUGCGUAGAGAUCAGGAAGAAUACCAGUGGCGAAAGCGGCUCUCUGGACUUGAACUGACGCUGAGGUGCGAAAGCGUGGGGAGC
rnacentral:rRNA from 1 species